CCUACGGGUGGCAGCAGUGGGGAAUAUUGGACAAUGGGGGGAACCCUGAUCCAGCCAUGCCGCGUGUGUGAAGAAGGCCCUCGGGUUGUAAAGCACUUUCAGUGAGGAAGAACGCCUGGUGGUUAAUACCCAUCAGGAAAGACAUCACUCACAGAAGAAGCACCGGCUAACUCCGUGCCAGCAGCCGCGGUAAUACGGAGGGUGCGAGCGUUAAUCGGAAUUACUGGGCGUAAAGCGCGCGUAGGUGGCUUGAUAAGCCGGUUGUGAAAUCCCCGGGCUCAACCUGGGAACAGCAUCCGGAACUGUCAAGCUAGAGUGCAGGAGAGGAAGGUAGAAUUCCCGGUGUAGCGGUGAAAUGCGUAGAGAUCGGGAGGAAUACCAGUGGCGAAGGCGGCCUUCUGGACUGACACUGACACUGAGGUGCGAAAGCGUGGGUAGCAAACAGGAUUAGAUACCCCAGUAGUC
rnacentral:rRNA from 1 species